rfam:Human gut metagenome DNA, contig sequence: F2-Y_028836.
CAGAGUAGGGUAGAUGCGUGUACAUUAGUCUACAGUGUCUGAGGACGGGGACGUGACCUCGGAACGAAUGGCGAAAGCCUACGAUAUUUUACCCGUCGUCCGCUGC